GCCUUCGGGCGCUGACGAGUGGCGGACGGGUGAGUAACACGUGGAAAUCUGCCCAUCGGUGGGGGACAACCUGGGGAAACCCAGGCUAAUACCGCAUACGUCCUACGGGAGAAAGCGGGGGAUCGCAAGACCUCGCGCCGAUGGAUGAGUCCACGUCCUAUCAGCUUGUUGGUGAGGUAAUGGCUCACCAAGGCGACGACGGGUAACUGGUCUGAGAGGAUGAUCAGUCACACCGGAACUGAGACACGGUCCGGACUCCUACGGGAGGCAGCAGUGGGGAAUAUUGGACAAUGGGCGCAAGCCUGAUCCAGCAAUGCCGCGUGGGUGAAGAAGGCCUGCGGGUUGUAAAGCCCUUUCGUCUGGGAAGAAAAGCCUGGUGUUAACACCGCCGGGUCUUGACGUUACCAGAAGAAGAAGCACCGGCUAA
rnacentral:rRNA from 1 species